GACCGGCGCCUGGCCCUCCAGCGCGCCGGGGCUCCCCGCCCCAGGGAAAGGGACCGGCCACUGAGCUGCUCUCAGCGGGGAGCGGCGGCGGAGGGGAAACGAGGCGGCUCAGCGAGCACGGAUUAUAUGUAAAUGUUGUGGACAGAGCGCCUUUCCCCGAUUCUACCAUCUGAAUGGGCAAAAUUUGCUAGUAACACAGAAGUAAGCUGCACUCCCCUGGUGUCUGAGAAGCUGCAUAAUAAAAUACAGAGACUUUGAUUCCACUGGAUUUUUGCUGCAGCUUGGGUACAAGAAGCGAUAAAACCUGAGAGAAAAUAAACAGAAAAUGCCUUAAAUUCAAACUGAAUUCCUUUAACAGCCCCGUUUCCCCACUGAUUGUCGCAAGACUAAAACUGGUCUAGACCUUCCUACCUGGAAUUGCUUAGUGUACAGUAACAAUUGUUCUUCCUAAUGGAUUUUAACACGUGAUGGAAAGAAUUUUUCUUCCCUUUUAUCUCGCCUCCUUUGAUGGGAAAAUUACCCCCCUACUGUGAGUUACAACAGGGCGGUUAACCAUUACAGAAAGCAAUUUCAGGGUGAGGGAAGUCAAAUAUGCUGCUGUUACUGGUUAACAGUUAAAUUUCUCUACUUGCUGCUGGUUUUCUUCUAUCUAAUAAAGGGGAGAACCAACCAUUUACCAUCCUCAAAUUAAUACUGUUUAACAUUGAUCUGUUGCAACCUGAAAUGAAAAAAUACAUUAAAAAUAUGCUUAUGUUUAAAAACCAAAAA
rnacentral:lncRNA from 1 species